UACGGAGGAUCCGAGCGUUAUCCGGAUUUAUUGGGUUUAAAGGGUGCGCAGGCGGGAUGUUAAGUCGGCGGUGAAAUUUUGCAGCUCAACUGUAAAAGUGCCUUCGAUACUGGCUUUCUUGAGUGUGGAUGAAGUAGGCGGAAUUUGUGGUGUGGCGGUGAAAUGCUUAGAUAUCACGAGGAACUCCGAUUGCGCAGGCAGCUUACUAAACCACUACUGACGCUCAUGCACGAAGGCGUGGGGAUCAAACAGGAUUAGAUA
rnacentral:rRNA from 1 species